AAGACUAUAGACCUGCGGAGUACCUGCGGAAGGAUCAUUCACAAUAAGUGUUUUAUGGCACUUUAAUUCCAUAUCCACCUUGUGUGCAACGUAGUUCGUUUUUCGAACAAAACAUCAACAUUUUAAUUAUCAACAGAUCGUCUGAAGUAUUAUAUGAAUAAAUCAAUUCAAAAUACAACUUUCAACAAUGGAUCUCU
rnacentral:misc_RNA from 1 species